AAAAGUUUUAUAUUUAGUAAUAAAUAGUCACAAAGAUUAGCAUUAUUAUAAUAUUUAUUAUUUAUUUAUAAAAAAUAAUUAUUGAAAUUCUGAUUUUGUACUUAUGAAUUUAAAAAAAAAAUAAAGGCUAAAUUACAAAAAACCCCUCUUUCAAAACCCGCUUUUUCACUUUCCCCCCCUGUCAUUUAAAAAUCUAUACUUUGCCCCCUUGUAAAAUAAAAAAUGUGCACUCUUCUUGUUGCUUCGCUUCCUCCGCCUCGCCGCCGCCUCGUCGCCUCGCCUUCAUCCACUGCCUCGCCCUCGCCCACAUCUUCAUCUGCGUCCAUAACCACCCCAUUGCCUUCCUCCGUCGCCUCGACUUCGCCCUUGUUGCCGUUGCCACCACUCCAUCCACCCCCACCUCAAUUUCCUCUAUACUGUCGCCGAAAUCGAGGUGCGACGAGGCUGUAGGAGAAGAAGCGGAGCAUGUGGAGAAGAAAAUGGAGAGAAAUCGUAGCCGAUCGAGAGGCAAACCACGGCCGAUCGAGGCCGCGGAUAAGAAGGAUGAGGGAGAAGACGAAAAUGACAGAGGGCAAAAUAGUCAUUUUUCACACCGUACCCUCCCUGUGCAUAUUUUUUAUUUUAUAAGGGGUCAAAGUGUAGGUUUUUAAAUGACAGAGAGUGAAAGUGAAAAAACGGAUUUUGAUAGGAGGGUUUUAUGUAAUUUAGCCAAAAAUAAAUGACCAAUCACUUAAUAUUCUCAUAGUACAAGAGUUCGUACCCUCCUAAACUAAAAGAGUUCUGCCCAAAAAACAUAAUUUGUUGGAUAUUAAAAUAAGGCUCUAUUUAGAAUUGUACAAAGACUAUAUUAUUACGUUUUACAUAUUAUAAUAAAUCAUGUAUGAUAUAGAUUUUAUAAUUGUAUUGGAGAUCGAAUAAAUAUAUUUUUAUAUACUAACAUCUCAACUUCAUUUUAUAA
rnacentral:lncRNA from 1 species